rnacentral:sRNA from 1 species
UGUGCAGUUUUAUGCACAUAAAUAUUCCCUCUUCAUUUGCUGUAGAAAUGUUUAAAUAUAUAUACAGUAUUGACAUUUGUUCAGAUUUUCAAUGUAUACUGACAAGAAAAUUAAAGAUUGAGACGUCAUCAAAACCCCUUCAACAUACACCGAAAGUAAUGUUUCAUCGUCUCAUGCGAUGUAAUGUAUAUAAUUAUGCUAGUACAUGCAUGUUUCCUUUUAGAAAAAAAAUCUUCUUUAUGCCUCGCUCCCAUUAUUUUUAUUAAAAAUUCCUUAUGUUAUUUGAUUAUUGCUUUGGUCUGUAAUAUAUUUGGACUCGUGGAAGAACUUUUUCACAAUGAAAUGUAUUCCAUGACCCGGGAUGGCCUGGCUCUAGCUUUGUCCAGGGUAAUUCGUUAUACACAUGUCUCUCUCGAUGUGAUUUGAGUUUAUACAUCCAUUACAUCAUAAACUUUGAAACUGUCUGAUUAAACUGUAAAGGUAUUUUAAUAUAAACGUUCAUAGUUAGUUUUCACUUCAAACACGUACCUCUUUUUAUUGGAAUUAUCUCUUCAGUAUGUAUAGUAAAGCUCUGUAGAAGUGGGAGCCCCCCCCCCCCCCCCCCCCCCCCCCCCCGUGAAAAAAAAAGAUUCUACUCAUAAUGAUUUUUAUGUAGAUUUUUUUCCAUGCAGAAUAUUAAGAUUUCAUUGUGUUAUUUAAAAAAAAAACAUGUCUCUGUUUCAUUUAGUCAAAAGAUGUUGAUUGUGUAUAUUCAGCUCCUCUGUCUACAACUGGUUAAUUGUGAUAAGGAGUUCUCCUCUUUUAUCAUAUAACUCAUUUAUUUGAAAAGGAAAGUGAAUAAACUUCAUUUAAGAAUAAUCAUGAUCACAACUAAAAUAUAUGUAUAUUUGCAACUAAAUCGCUCAAAGAAUGAACAAAUUUUGUGUAUAAUUUAUUUAUAUUAUUAUAAAUUUUAUAUUAAAGUCGACAACUUUCUUUUACAUUGUAUAUAUGAAGAAGCUUUCUUUGAUAAUGCGUCUCUUGGCAAACUUGAUUUGCUAGGCUAUAGUAUAACCAUUAUGAUAUAUGAUUCCGUAUUGUUUCAAAAUAAACUCUUGAUUUAAAU